GUGUCAGCAGCCGCGGUAAUACCCGCAGCACAAGUGGUGGUCAUUAUUAUUGGGCCUAAAGCGUCCGUAGCUGGCCUGUUAGAUGCCUGGGUAAAUCGAUGCGCUCAACGUAUCGAACUCCGGGUAGACCGGCAGGCUCGAGACCGGGAGAGGUGUAGGCUACUCGCGGGGUAGGGGUAAAAUCCUGUAAUCCUGCGGGGAGGACCAGUGGCGAAGGCGCUACACUAGAACGGCUCUGACAGUGAGGGACGAAGCCCUGGGGCGCAAACCGGAUUAGAUACCCCUGUAGUCC
rnacentral:rRNA from 1 species